rnacentral:snoRNA from 1 species
AUCCCAAAUAUACUUACUACUCACCGGUGUUUAUUUGAUUCAUGGGAGGCAUAGAAUUGAGUUGUGGGGAGGCUCGCUGAUAACGCUUCUCAUCAUCUCCUAAGAAGUGUUUCAAUAGUACCUCACCAUACAUUG